rnacentral:sRNA from 1 species
CCAGACAGCAAGUUAGCAAAGAACAGCCCAGCUUCUGCGGUCCCUGCUGGCUGACGAGGAGCAGACCUUGUCCCAGGUCUUCCCCAGUUUUCUUCCCUAGAGUCAAUUCUGUCAACCUAGAGGGAUUGUCCUAGCACAGAACGGGGACAGGAGAGGUGAGAUGACUUUAAAGGUUUGGGGUUAGGGGCUGGGAAAGUGGCUCAGUCAGUAAGAUGCUUUCCAUGCCACUGCGGAGACCUGUGUUUGAUCCUCAGAACCCACAGACAAACUGGACACCGAUGAAAGGACCAGGACAUGAACACCGGGCCUCCUGACCAAGAAAGAGGCAGUGGAUCUAUGAUGACUAGCCCUGCUUGUCAACUUGACUACAUCUGGAAUUAACUAAAACCCAAGCGGCUGAUACAUCAGUGGGAUAAUUCAUCUAUUCAAGAAAAUUACUCCAGCCAGCAGGAGUAGAAAGGAUUCAAUUUUAGCCUCUUGUCUCUGACGUUUAAGAAAUAAUAACUGUAAUUUCAGGAAGACACCCAAAGCAAAGUGAAGAUUUAAAUUUUUAUUACUUUAUUUAUUAUGUGUGCACCUGAAUGUCAGGGGGUGGUGCCCAGGUCACGGUGCCAUGGUACACGCGUGGAGGUCAGAGUGUAGCUUCUCUCCUUCCACCGUGAGGGACCUGGGGAUCCGACUCAGAUGACAGCGUGGCGGCAAGCACCUUUACUAGCUGAGUCAUCUCUUUGGCUCAAGAUAAGAAUUUAAGUGUUUACUUUACGGGUCGAGUAAUGGGUUAGAGAAAAGUUUAAUAUCUCAACUAUUUUAAACCUUUAAGCUUCUGUGUACCCAGCCAGUCAUUUCUUGAUCUUUGUUAAUGAAGCUUUAGGCUCAGGCAGU